rnacentral:rRNA from 1 species
GACGAACGCUGGCGGCGUGCUUAACACAUGCAAGUCGAACGGAAAGGCCCUGCUUUUGUGGGGUGCUCGAGUGGCGAACGGGUGAGUAACACGUGAGUAACCUGCCCUUGACUUUGGGAUAACUUCAGGAAACUGGGGCUAAUACCGGAUAGGAUCUCCUGCUGCAUGGUGGGGGUUGGAAAGUUUCGGCGGUUGGGGAUGGACUCGCGGCUUAUCAGCUUGUUGGUGGGGUAGUGGCUUACCAAGGCUUUGACGGGUAGCCGGCCUGAGAGGGUGACCGGCCACAUUGGGACUGCGAUACGGCCCAGACUCCAACGGGAGGCAGCGGUGGGGAAUAUUGCACAGUGGGCGGAAGCCUGAUGCGGCAACGCCGCGUGCGGGAUGACGGCCUUCGGGUUGUAAACCGCUUUCGCCUGUGACGAAGCGUGAGUGACGGUAAUGGGUAAAGAAGCACCGGCUAACUACGUG